rnacentral:rRNA from 1 species
UACGUAGGGUGCGAGCGUUGUCCGGAAUUAUUGGGCGUAAAGGGCUCGUAGGCGGUUUGUCGCGUCGGGAGUGAAAAUCCAGGGCUUAACUCUGGACUGGCUUCCGAUACGGGCAGACUAGAGGUAUGCAGGGGAGAACGGAAUUCCUGGUGUAGCGGUGAAAUGCGCAGAUAUCAGGAGGAACACCGGUGGCGAAGGCGGCAUCCUGGACCAACACUGACACUGAGGAGCGAAAGCCAGGGGAGCAAACGGG